rnacentral:rRNA from 1 species
GAUCCUGGCUCAGUCGUAACAAGGUAGCCCUAGAGUUGGAUCCUGGGCGGAGGGUGAGUAAUGCUUAGGAAUCUGCCUAUUAGUGGGGGACAACAUUCCGAAAGGAAUGCUAAUACCGCAUACGCCCUACGGGGGAAAGCAGGGGAUCUUCGGACCUUGCGCUAAUAGAUGAGCCUAAGUCGGAUUAGCUAGUUGGUGGGGUAAAGGCCUACCAAGGCGACGAUCUGUAGCGGGUCUGAGAGGAUGAUCCGCCACACUGGGACUGAGACACGGCCCAGACUCCUACGGGAGGCAGCAGUGGGGAAUAUUGGACAAUGGGGGGAACCCUGAUCCAGCCAUGCCGCGUGUGUGAAGAAGGCCUUUUGGUUGUAAAGCACUUUAAGCGAGGAGGAGGCUCCUUUAGUUAAUACCUAAAGAGAGUGGACGUUACUCGCAGAAUAAGCACCGGCUAACUCUGUGCCAGCAGCCGCGGUAAUACAGAGGGUGCGAGCGUUAAUCGGAUUUACUGGGCGUAAAGCGUGCGUAGGCGGCUUUUUAAGUCGGGAUGUGAAAUCCCUGAGCUUAACUUAGGAAUUGCAUUCGAUACUGGAAAGCUCUAUUAUGGGAGAGGAUGGUAGAAUUCCAGGUGUAGCGGUGAAAUGCGUAGAGAUCUGGAGGAGUACCGAUGGCGAAGGCAGCCAUCUGGCCUAAUACUGACACU